rnacentral:rRNA from 1 species
ACGAACGCUGGCGGCGUGCCUAAUACAUGCAAGUCGAGCGAGCGGAACUAACAGAUUUACUUCGGUAAUGACGUUAGGAAAGCGAGCGGCGGAUGGGUGAGUAACACGUGGGGAACCUGCCCCAUAGUCUGGGAUACCACUUGGAAACAGGUGCUAAUACCGGAUAAGAAAGCAGAUCGCAUGAUCAGCUUUUAAAAGGCGGCGUAAGCUGUCGCUAUGGGAUGGCCCCGCGGUGUAUUAGCUAGUUGGUAAGGUAAAGGCUUACCAAGGCGAUGAUGCAUAGCCGAGUUGAGAGACUGAUCGGCACAUUGGGACUGAGACACGGCCCAAACUCCUACGGGAGCAGCAGUAGGAAUCUUCCACAAUGGGCGCAAGUCUGAUGGAGCAACGCCGCGUGAGUGAAG